ACUGUGUGGAUACCCUCGUCAAUCACUUUCUCCAGGUUCUGUCAUGUAGGCAGCACAGUGCUCUGUGCGACGUGGUACAGUGCCUGCCCAGUGUUCAAGACGAAAAUGAGCUUUGUGUUGUUCAGCACUGUGGAUUCCUCCAGCCUGUCUGGGUUCUGAGGGACAAUGUCAGAGAAGACUCGUCGAUCAGGU
ensembl:snoRNA SNORA73 Small nucleolar RNA SNORA73 family